rnacentral:lncRNA from 1 species
CCCACACCUCCAGGAGGUCGGUAAGAACUCUCUGAAGCUGUGGUGUCAGAUCCUUUCUCAUUUCCUGUUUGCUGUUUGGACAGGCCUGGCAGCUGUGGCGACUGAAUCUAAGAAGAAAGGCUGAUAAUGCUCUGGCUGGUUUCAUAAUAGGACUUUUCAAGCCACCACCAAAGAAGAGAAAGAAAUUAACAUAAUAACUCUCCGGGUGGUUCCCUGUUUACAAAGUAAGUUUAACUUUUACUUUGUUUUCCUUCAGAGCCCUAAAUUCAACUCCUACUUUAUUCCAUAUUUCCAUUUUCAGUCAUCCUUGAUGCCUGAAAUGAUUUAGUUGAUGCCAUAUUGAUUUCGUUCUUGUUUGCUUCCUCAAAAUGUUUCUCAUUUUUCUGUCCCCUUGGCUCAUUUCUAAGUGUGUUUUCUAAUGUCCAUAUCCUGCACAAUUGCCAGCAGCACCAUGACCUAGGGAGGACCCUCAUUAUGAACUGCAUUCUACAGGAAAAAAGACGCACGUCCCCUUCAAAUGAUGUGGCUUGCCCCAUGGAAAACAGAGUUGGUGUCUGAGUCAGGUUUGCUUCCCCAGAGCUCCAGGGCCAUUGCUAUUGUCCUCUUUCCUGCACGCUUCCUCAUUUGCAAAACAAUGUGAAUUCUGUUCUUGCCCUUAUAAUUAAAGGAAAAAUGAGGAUGAUCAAGAGUGGUUGCUUCAGGGACCUUCCACACUGCUAAGGCCACCUCUAUUUUUCCAGACUCCAGGUAUAUUUUAAAAUGAAGACAUGUCAAAAUAGGUUUCUGUUGUAGUUAAAAUGUUUACACCUAUUAGCAAUUAUAUUUGUAUGAGAGUUGAAGGCUCUUCCAACACUGUCAGUGUACUUCUGUGACAGUAUGUAUCUAAACUCAUUUGGAAAUAAACAAUAAUUGUCUAAUUUUGGCCCUUAAUUGAGGUCCUAGCUUAAUGCCCUCUUUUCUCAUAAAGGAAUGCCCUUACAUGAACAUUAGGACUUUAGAGGACAGCAGUGGUGGCAACAGUGGAGUUGACUGCAGCUGGGGCAAAGGUAGCAGGUUAAUACCAGCUAACACCUCCAGAGCAUUUGCCAUGUGCCAGGGACAAUGCUAAGUAUUUUAUGUGUGCUAACACUAUGCUUUCUUAGGCAGGUACUAUUAUUAUCUGCUUUUUUUAACAGAUGAAGAAACCGAGCCACACAGAGGUUAAAUAACUUGCCCAAGGGUGCACAACUACUAGUAGUAUUGAGUCUAUACGCUUAAGUAUUGUGCUAUUCCAUUUCUUACUGAAUACAAAGCAAAAAAACAUAAGGAUCAGAGGAGGAGUGUGAGUGUCCUCAUACUCACAGCAAAAGGAGGGAAUUCAGGAGAGGAUUGAAGAAGCGGUUCCUGUUUUUGAGGCAUUUGCAAUCAUUGCUGGAGAGACAGAACCAACAGAUGGGGAACAAUGGUCAGGGACUCCAGGCCUGAUUUAAGCCAAUGCCGCCCUGUGGUCUUUACCCACGAAUGGUGUGGAAAAUGAGAGCAGGGAAGAGGAUUUACUCACUGGCUGUGGAGUUAGGUCAGAAGGGGGAUGGAAAGAAGGAACCGGAUGGCUUUGGGGACAUUUCUUAAUCUUUAGGCUUCACCUUCCUUAACUGAAAAUAAAGCCAUAAGUUACCUCCAGAACUCUUUCAGCCUUAACAUUCAAUGAAUCUCGAUCUUUUCUGUAAAGCUAGAUUUUUAUGUGUGGUAUUUGCUAAAAGUUGGGGCGCACCCUUACUUGAUCUGGCCCAGACUAUAGAUCACAUGAAGAUCACAUUAAAUCAGGUCGAAAGACUUUUCUGACUUCAAAUUAGCGAAUAUGCAUAUGUGCUGAACUUUAGUCUUUUCCUUUUCUUGAACAUUCAGUUUAAUAAUUGUCUCUGCCAUUUUACACAUUUAUUUUUCUUGGCUAUUUAUAUUUUCCUUUUGGGGAGGUCAAAUAUAAAAAUAGGAUAUACAUGGACUGUAG